rnacentral:rRNA from 1 species
UAACACGUAAACAACCUGCCUUCAGGAUGGGGACAACAGACGGAAACGACUGCUAAUACCGAAUAAGUUCCAAGAGCCGCAUGGCCCAUGGAAGAAAAGGUGGCCUCUACCUGUAAGCUAUCGCCUGAAGAGGGGUUUGCGUCUGAUUAGCUGGUUGGAGGGGUAACGGCCCACCAAGGCGACGAUCAGUAGCCGGUCUGAGAGGAUGAACGGCCACACUGGAACUGAGACACGGUCCAGACUCCUACGGGAGGCAGCAGUGGGGAAUCUUCCGCAAUGGGCGAAAGCCUGACGGAGCAACGCCGCGUGAGUGAUGACGGCCUUCGGGUUGUAAAACUCUGUGAUCCGGGACGAAAAGGCAGAGUGCGAAGAACAAACUGCAUUGACGGUACCGGAAAAGCAAGCCACGGCUAACUACGUGCCAGCAGCCGCGGUAAUACGUAGGUGGCAAGCGUUGUCCGGAAUUAUUGGGCGUAAAGCGCGCGCAGGCGGCUUCCCAAGUCCCUCUUAAAAGUGCGGGGCUUAACCCCGUGAUGGGAAGGAAACUGGGAAGCUGGAGUGUCGGAGAGGAAAGUGGAAUUCCUAGUGUAGCGGUGAAAUGCGUAGAGAUUAGGAAGAACACCGGUGGCGAAGGCGACUUUCUGGACGAAAACUGACGCUGAGGCGCGAAAGCGUGGGGAGCAAACAGGAUUAGAUACCCUGGUAGUCCACGCCGUAAACGAUGGAUACUAGGUG